rnacentral:siRNA from 1 species
AUUGGGUUGCCUGAAUUUUC